CCACGAGUCAGCAGCCGUGCCCUCUGCCAUCCCCCUCUGUCCCCCUGCCCUGCUCGCUCCCCCUCACCUGGCACAGAUCAGCUGUCCCUUGGUCCUUUAUUCGAGGCCAGCUCUGCAGGCUGCCCCGCACAGCUAUUCUGGUCGCUUCCUCUCCAAGUUCCUUCGAUUGUUGGACUGGCAUUGUGUGAGACACCCGCCACGCUUCCUCCCAUGCUCGCUCACAGCUGGGAACAGCCUCCUCUGGCUCAUUUUCCUUUGUUCACUGAAGCAUCCUGAAGUCAUCCAACCUUUAACACCACUGUGGCCGAGCUUGGUGAUGGCAGCCCUGUGCUUCGCAGGCUGUUGGAGCGGCCUCCCACGGCAUGGUGAUGGGGCUCGUCACAGUGCAUGGGAUAGCUCAGGGAUGUCUUUCUGCCACCCCACCCUCCCUAUCUGUCCUGCGAGGCUUUCCAGCCUCCUUCACGUCAGUGCAAAUGAGGCUGUGCAGCUCUGCGCAGUCCCUACAGACUUGGAGGGGAGAGGGAGGAGCAGUGCCAGGACUGCUAUCGCUGCGAGGGAGUGAACGCCCAGCGUCAGCCAGAUAAGGACCCAGGCUGACGUUUUCCUUUUGGAGAGACUUUUUCCUGGACGCCCUUUGUGCAUGCUUACAGCUCAUCAGAAAGCAUCUGUUCUCUCCCAGGCUUUUCCCUAGGGCACAGUGGACAAGGAGCCACCAAGCACACCAGAGCACGAAGGUCCC
ensembl:lncRNA